rnacentral:rRNA from 1 species
UACAGAGGGUGCAAGCGUUGUUCGGACUUAUUGGGCGUAAAGCGCGUGUAGGCGGCUUUGCAAGUCGGGUGUGAAAGCCCUCAGCUCAACUGAGGAAGGGCGCCCGAAACUGCAGAGCUUGAGUGCCGGAGAGGGUGGCGGAAUUCCCCAAGUAGAGGUGAAAUUCGUAGAUAUGGGGAGGAACACCGGUGGCGAAGGCGGCCACCUGGACGGUAACUGACGCUGAGACGCGAAAGCGUGGGUAGCAAACAGG